rnacentral:rRNA from 1 species
UACGGAGGGUGCAAGCGUUAAUCGGAAUUACUGGGCGUAAAGCGUGCGCAGGCGGUUGUGCAAGACAGAUGUGAAAUCCCCGGGCUUAACCUGGGAACUGCAUUUGUGACUGCACGGCUAGAGUGUGUCAGAGGGAGGUAGAAUUCCACGUGUAGCAGUGAAAUGCGUAGAGAUGUGGAGGAAUACCGAUGGCGAAGGCAGCCUCCUGGGAUAACACUGACGCUCAUGCACGAAAGCGUGGGGGAGCAAACAGG